rnacentral:rRNA from 1 species
GAACGCUGGCGGCGUGCUUAACACAUGCAAGUCGAACGAGAAUCUAAUGAUGGAGUUUUCGGACAACUGAUUUAGAGGACAGUGGCGGACUGGUGAGUAACGCGUAGGCAACCUGCCCUUUAGUUGGGGACAACAUCCCGAAAGGGGUGCUAAUACCGAAUGUGAUCGCUCUUCCGCAUGGAAGAGCGAUGAAAGAUGGCCUCUAUUUAUAAGCUAUCGCUAAAGGAUGGGCCUGCGUCUGAUUAGCUAGUUGGUGGGGUAACGGCCUACCAAGGCGAUGAUCAGUAGCCGGUCUGAGAGGAUGAACGGCCACAUUGGAACUGAGACACGGCCCAGACUCCUACGGGAGGCGGCAGUGGGGAAUAUUGGGCAAUGGACGCAAGUCUGACCCAGCAACGCCGCGUGAAGGAAGAAGGCUUUCGGGUUGUAAACUUCUUUUGUCAGGGAAGAGUAGAAGACGGUACCUGACGAAUAAGCCACGGCUAACUACGUG